GCUGGAGAGAGGGCUCAAUGGAUAAGAGCACUGACUGCUCUUCGAGAGGUCCUGAGUUCAAUUCCCAGCAACUGCA
rnacentral:tRNA from 1 species